rnacentral:misc_RNA from 1 species
UCUUUGAGAUGGUAGUAACUAACAUUUCAAUUUUUUUUUUUUAAGUAAAAAAAGAAAGCAUCAGCGGAAUUAAUGGCAGGCUCGAACCUGAUGACCACUGAUUUUAGUACCUUGAAAAUUUCAUCAUGCAAUAUGCAUUUCUAGAAUCAUGACAGUAUUACCUCUAGUAGAUAAGAACUUUAAAAAAAAAGGUGCCCAUGCAAAGCUGCCUCCAAUAAGAACACCUGCCGUAAAUUCCCAAACAGCCUUA